UAAGUUUUCUGAGAGUAUCUCAUCUAAAACUUCUCCUACUUUUCAUCUUUGGAAGAGUCCAAAUCAAGAAGAAGGAGGCAUCUGAUCAACCAUCGAAGAAGGAUCAGCGCAGUACUAGCAUACUAUGCUGAUUUCCUGGACCAGAACUUCUGAUCGUGAUUCAUGGGCUUGUGUGGAUGACUCCUAGAGGUCGGACGCAUGUGCGGCUUGCAACAUCAUCUUCAAGCCUAAAUAAGCAAAGUUAGAAUGUCUAACUUGCAAGGUAAUAGAUCUGAUCUAUUAUAUUUUACAUACAUUAGAUG
rnacentral:lncRNA from 1 species